GUCUACGGCCAUGCCACCCUGAACAAGCCCGAUUCCAUCUGAUCGCGGAAGCUAAGCAGGGUUGGGCCUGGGUAGUGCUUGGAUAGGAGAUCACCUAGAAAGACCAGGUGCGGUAGGCA
rnacentral:rRNA from 1 species